AGACGUAGGGGGCUAGCGUUGCCCGGAUUCACUGGGCGUAAAGCGCGCGUAGGCGGUUCGGCAAGUCGCCCGUGAAAGCCCCUGGCUCAACUGGGGGAGGUCGGGCGAUACUGCCGGGCUAGAGGGCGGCAGAGGGAGGUGGAACGGCCGGAGUAGCGGUGAAAUGCGUAGAUACCGGCCGGAAUCCCGAUGGCGAAGGCAACCUCCUGGGCCGUUCCUGACGCUGAGGCGCGAAAGCUGGGGGAGCGAACCGGAUUAGAAACCCGAGUAGUCC
rnacentral:rRNA from 1 species